UGCGCGGUGUGUCCAGUCUUCUCGGCGCGGACGGCAUUCCCGUGGACCUUCGGCCGAAGGGGCGACGCGCGACACGAAAACAUCCGUGGAGCUCAAGUUUGAGGUGAAACCAGGCUCAGGGUCCACCUGUCCUCGCUGAUCCAUGGAUUUCUGUGUGACCAGAUUACACCUAUGGAGCUGUGGCCCCAACUACCACCAGCUUGCUCAUCCCUCUACUCACACAGUCACCCCUCCCCUCACUCUCAUGUAUGCUUCACCUGUGAAUGGUGGUCCUGGGACAGCCACUGCUGGAGCCCGGGUGAGCCUGGGGGCUCCUCCCACUCUGUCCCUCCCUGAGACAGCC